CAACUACAAGUCCCCUCAGGUCCAGCAUGCACAGUUCUGAGCUCUUAUCCAGUGAUGGCUUUACAUUACCGAAGAAACUCAUUCACCUCUGAAUGCUAUUUGCACACCCUGAAACAGCCAGAGAAUCACAGGCACAACUAGAGUGACAGGAGGAGUGGACAGGGACCACAUUUAUGUUGCAGAGGAGCCUGCAUAAUGGAGGAGAUGAGGACGAGGAGGAGCAGGAUCCGGAUGAAGCAAGCAUCACCACCCAGCAGACCCAGCAGCCCGAAAGCCUCUCUGUGGACGUGCCCCAGGCAUCAUUUGAGGCAGGGGAAUUUACAUCAUCCGGACCAGCUGCAAGAGAGGGGCGGUCAACACACCCAGGACAGCCUCCUGGACCCGAGGCAUCUGCAGGCGCCACUGUCCCAUGGACAAAUCCAGCGGCAGCACCUGGUGGCACUGUGAGCCAUGCACUACACCAUAAAGGGCUGGGUCCAGGAGGAUCUGCAGCUGCAUCAGGAGAGCUGGCAGGAGCCGCUUGUACAGGGCUGCUGAAUGUGUUCAGAUGUCCACUCCCUUGCGCUGAGCAUGAUGCCUCCUCCUGUUCUAACCUCUGCUCCCACUCCUGCUGU